ACGGCUCAGUAACACGUGGCUAACCUGCCCUUGGGACGGGAACACCCCCGGGAAACUGGGGCUAAUCCCCGAUAGGUGAAGAACUCUGGAAUGAGUCUUCGCCCAAAAGGCGUCGGAUCAUGCUUUCGGCGUCGCCCAAGGAUGGGGCCGCGACCGAUCAGGUUGUUGGUGAGGUAACGGCCCACCAAGCCUAUAACCGGUGCGGGCCGUGAGAGCGGGAGCCCGGAGAUGGGCACUGAGACAAGGGCCCAGGUCCUACGGGGCGCAGCAGUCGCGAAACCUUUGCAAUACACGAAAGUGUGACAGGGUCAUCCCGAGUGCCGACCGCUGAGGUUGGCUUUUACCCAGUCUAGAAAGCUGGGGGAAUAAGGAGAGGGCAAGUCUGGUGUCAGCCGCCGCGGUAAUACCAGCUCUCCGAGUGGUGUGGACGUUUAUUGGGCCUAAAGCAUCCGUAGCCGGUUCUGCAAGUCUUCCGUUAAAUCCACCUGCUCAACAGAUGGGCUGCGGAGGAUACUACAGGGCUAGGAGGCGGGAGAGGCAAGCGGUACUCAGUGGGUAGGGGUAAAAUCCUCUGAUCCACUGAAGACCACCAGUGGCGAAGGCGGCUUGCCAGAACGCGCUCGACGGUGAGGGAUGAAAGCUGGGGGAGCAAACCGGAUUAGAUACCCGGGUAGUCCCAGCUGUAAACGAUGCAGACUCGGUGAUGGGUUGGCUUCGAGCCAACCCAGUGCCGCAGGGAAGCCGUUAAGUCUGCCGCCUGGGGAGUACGGUCGCAAGACUGAAACUUAAAGGAAUUGGCGGGGGAG
rnacentral:rRNA from 1 species